GAAAAACUUUACAAACUUACAAGAACAUCUCAACAACUGAAUGAAGAUGAAGUCCAACAGCAGCAACAGCAGCAAUAAUAAUAAUAGUAAUAGUCAUAAUGAUGGUAGUAGUAACUGGUUAGGUUUUUCUCUCUCUCCCCACAUGAAAAUGGAGGUUACUUCUUCUGAACCUCAACACCAACAUCAUCAGUUCAAUAAUCAGAGCUCUAUCCAUCCUAGUACUACUACCUCUGCUCUUGCUCAAAGUUUCUAUCUUUCAUCUUCUCCUAUGAAUGUGACUUCAAAUACCUCUG
rnacentral:lncRNA from 1 species